UCCCUGGUGAUUCAGUGGGUUAAGGAUCUGGCAUUGUCACUGUUGUGGCGCAGGUUUGAUCCCUGCCCUGGAAC
rnacentral:tRNA from 1 species